UACGUAGGGCGCAAGCGUUGUCCGGAAUUAUUGGGCGUAAAGAGCUCGUAGGCGGUCUGUCACGUCGGAUGUGAAAGCCCGGGGCUUAACCCCGGGUCUGCAUUCGAUACGGGCAGACUAGAGUGUGGUAGGGGGCCAUGGAAUUCCCGGUGUAGUGGUGGAAUGCGUAGAGAUCGGGAGGAACACCCGUGGCGAAGGCGGUGGCCUGGACCGAUGCUGACGCUGAGGCGCGAAAGCGUGGGGAGCGAUCCGG
rnacentral:rRNA from 1 species